rnacentral:sRNA from 1 species
CAACAUGAACCAAGCCUGUGUUUGCCAAUAGGCAGUGGUUGGAAACGCGGCAGAAAAGAGCGCAACUCCGCAAGAUAAGCUGGGCUUACAAGGUGGUGUGAGAGGCUCUUCCUCUUCUUGGCUCACUCAAUUACCAACGGGAAUAAAGAACUGCCCACGUAGAAUGCACCACUCACCUGCUUAUUUAUUCCUUUUGGCCAAUGUCAUGUUAAGUUUUGCUCUUAAGGGCGAGACUCCGAGCAAAAGCAACAGGCGACGAC